CUGCGUACCUUUUGUAUAAUGGGUCAGCGACUUAUAUUCUGUAGCAAGGUUAACCGAAUAGGGGAGCCGGAGGGAAACCGAGUCUUAAUUGGGCGUUAAGUUGCAGGGUAUAGACCCGAAACCCGGUGAUCUAGCCAUGGGCAGGUUGAAGGUUGGGUAACACUAACUGGAGGACCGAACCGACUAAUGUUGAAAAAUUAGCGGAUGACCUGUGGCUGGGGGUGAAAGGCCAAUCAAACCGGGAGAUAGCUGGUUCUCCCCGAAAGCUAUUUAGGUAGCGCCUCGUGAAUUCAUCUCCGGGGGUAGAGCACUGUUUCGGCUAGGGGGCCAUCCCGGCUUACCAACCCGAUGCAAACUGCGAAUACCGGAGAAUGUUAUCACGGGAGACACACGGCGGGUGCUAACGUCCGUCGUGAAGAGGGAAACAACCCAGACCGCCAGCUAAGGUCCCAAAGUCAUGGUUAAGUGGGAAACGAUGUGGGAAGGCCCAGACAGCCAGGAUGUUGGCUUAGAAGCAGCCAUCAUUUAAAGAAAGCGUAAUAGCUCACUGGUCGAGUCGGCCUGCGCGGAAGAUGUAACGGGGCUAAACCAUGCACCGAAGCUGCGGCAGCGAACGUAUCACCCAAGACAACUUUACGGAGUUGACGAUUGACGGAGCGAAGCGACGUCAAAGCGUUCAUUAAAGUCGAGUUGGCUUAGGGAUACGUUCGUUGGGUAGGGGAGCGUUCUGUAAGCCUGUGAAGGUGUGUCGUGAGGC
rnacentral:rRNA from 2 species